rnacentral:sRNA from 1 species
UUAGGUCGACCUAACUGAACGAUUAGGUCGACCUAA